UACGUAGGGGGCAAGCGUUGUCCGGAUUUAUUGGGCGUAAAGAGCGUGUAGGCGGCUUGGUAGGUCCGCUGUGAAAACUCGAGGCUCAACCUCGAGAUGUCGGCGGAAACCACUUGGCUAGAGUCCGGAAGAGGAGAGUGGAAUUCCUGGUGUAGCGGUGAAAUGCGCAGAUAUCAGGAAGAACACCUAGUGGCGAAGGCAGCUCUCUGGGACGGUACUGACGCUGAGACGCGAAAGCGUGGGGAGCGAACAGG
rnacentral:rRNA from 1 species